UCCUGAAGCUCCGACAUGAAAUGCACUGGCUUGGUGUCGUCUAACUUCAAAUACAUCCAGCAUAAAGGUAGGGUCACCGGCUAGCACGUUUGCUUACAAGUUCCGCACUUUGCAGAACUGACGCUUCUCGCCCAAAUAUCUACGAUCAGAGGUUUCUCCGGGGUCUAUGUUCCCGUGCUUGUGUCCCCCAAUCCCUCCGGAACAGAAGCUAGCCAGCACAAACCAACCGGCAAUCAGGCGAUCACUGGUUUCAUCAACAGGUGCAAAGGAAAACGAGCACCAGGUGUGUAUGCACAGCCCCGGAGACCUCCAUCAGGCUCCCAAACCAACCUGGCUCUUCUCACCCCAACCUGCUCACCUUGAGAAGGCUAUGGGUCAGGCUCUGUCUCUGGAGCAUGUUCCGGAAGGAGUUGUCCCCAGUGGCCAGCGGGACACUGUGGUGCCCCUUACAGACAUUCAUGAAAGACUGGGAAUGACCAGAUAUUCAAUCCACUGUGGACAACCACCCAGCAUCACAUCGUUCGAAGCUCUGCCUAGCGCCACGCUGUCCAUACUGUAGAAACUUU